rnacentral:rRNA from 1 species
UUCGGGGAGCUGGCAAACGAGCUUUGAUCCGAAGAUGUCCGAAUGGGGAAACCCACCUCUUCUGAGGUAUCCGUGACUGAAUCCAUAGGUCACGUGAAGCGAACGCGGUGAACUGAAACAUCUAAGUAACCGCAGGAAAAGAAAUCAACCGAGAUUCCCAAAGUAGUGGCGAGCGAAAUGGGACCAGCCUGUACUCUUUAUCUUCGCUGUUAGUCGAACGCUCUGGAAAGUGCGGCCAUAGCAGGUGAUAGCCCUGUAGACGAAAACAGUGAGGAAGAACUAGGUGUACGACAAGUAGGGCGGGACACGUGAAAUCCUGUCUGAAGAUGGGGGGACCA